UGGGAUUGAAUGGAUGGGAGGACCCCGCCCUGUGGGGAAUGCAGAGAAACUUCACUAAACCUGGUGGCAGGGAAAUCAAGUAUUCCCUCCCUCCGCUGCUGCCUACACCAGCAAAUCAACACCCAUCUCACACAUACACAUGCACCCACACAUGCUUUGGCCCCUGGUUUUUAAGCCCCAUCUCUGAGAUUAAUUAAAUUGUCUGUGUCAUUCAUCUAUCUCAUCUUCUUUCCGGAAAACCCCUCCGCAUUAAACUAAUGCUUAAUCCGAAUUAGAGCCCAUCCAAGGCAUCUAAGCGCCGCUCAUUACUUGCUAAAGCAGGAUCUCUCUUGCCCUUUCAAACAAGCAAAGGAUUUCAAUGAGACCUCCCAGGACAGGGAGGGGAACGGGGUCUCGGCUUAAAUCUCACCUAGAGAUGCCUUCUCGAACCUCCCAGUUCAAGUAGCUCCACUUCUCGUCUCCACCAAGUUACCCGGUUUUAUUUUCCUCGUGACUCUCAGAACAUUUUCCUGUUUAUAUAUGUGUUUGUUGAUUAUCUGA